GGUCUUAUAACUCAUGACAAGCCAUUUGUUCCUGAAUCCAAUCUCAAGAGCAUGGAUCCUGAAAGAUUUUAAACAAGAAAGGAAUAUAAGUUGUUCAUUUUAGAAAGAUCACUCAGGCUGCACUAUGAGAAACAUAUUGAACAUAUACAAUCCAUGAGUGAAGAAGUGCACUAAGGAAAUGUCAGAGUAAUCCAGCAGGAUGACAGCUCAUAUCAAGAUUGCUUUAGUUUAGAGAAGACCCAAGAUAAAGUCUCUAUUUUUGCAAGCACAUCAACUGGCUUCAUUGAUGGUGGUGGAAACAAACACCUGAAAUUUAAUUCCGAGUUCCAACGAACACUCAAGAAUGUAAGCAGUCCUUUGUUGCCUCUUCUACUCUGCAAUUGUUAACUGAUCAAGAAACUAAGAUCCAUUCCAUAUUUAAAUAUUCUUUAUUUCUUAUUCAUUUCACUUAUUUUAAAUAAUAAGAAAUGAUUAGAAUAGUUCUUCAUAUACUGUAAAUCUAUGCACAUACAACUGUAUAUGUAUGAAACAUAAAAGAAUUAUUCAAGAACUUUCAUAAUGAUUGAUAUUCUGU